rnacentral:misc_RNA from 1 species
GAUGAAGAACGCAGCGAAAUGCGAUAAGUAGUGUGAAUUGCAGAAUUCAGUGAAUCAUCGGAUCUUUGAACGCACAUUGCGCCCCUCGGUAUUCCGUGGGGCAUGCCUGUUCGAGCGUCAUUUACCCCUCAAGCACUGCUUGGUGUUGGGCGUCUGUCCCGCUUCGCGCGCGGACUCGCCCCAAAGGUAUUGGCAGCGGUCGUGCCAGCUUCUCGCGCAGCACAUUGCGCUUCUCGAGGCGGUCGAUCGGCGUCCACGAAGCUCACCUCCACCGUUUGACCUCGGAUCAGGUAGGGAUACCCGCUGAACUUAAGCAUAUCAAUAAGCGGAGGA